GAUGAACGCUAGCGGCAGGCUUAAUACAUGCAAGUCGAGGGGCAUCAAGGUACACGAAAGUGUAUUGUUGGCGACCGGCGGACGGGUGAGUAAUAGGUAGGUAACCUACCUCAUACUGAGGCAUAGCUGGGAGAAAUUCCAGGUAAUUCCUCAUGAGGUUAUAUGACACAUGUGAUAUAAUCAAAGGUAUCGCAAGGUACUGGUAUGAGAUGGGCUUACUGACCAUUAGCUAGUUGGUGAGAUAAGAGCUCACCAAGGCGAAGAUGGUUAGGGGUUUUGAGAGAGAGAUCCCCCACAUUGGAACUGAGAUACGGUCCAGACUCCUACGGGAGGCAGCAGUAGGGAAUAUUGGGCAAUGGGCGGAAGCCUGACCCAGCCAUGCCGCGUGAAGGAAGACGGCCUUAUGGGUUGUAAACUUCUUUACUAUGCGACUAACUAGAUUUACGAGAUAAUUCUAUAGAAUGUAGCAUAGCAAAAGCACCGG
rnacentral:rRNA from 1 species